GCCCCGGUAGCUCAGUCGGAUAGAGCACCAGAUUCCUAAUCUGGGGGUCCCAUGUUCGACAAAACGCGGCAGCGUUU
rnacentral:tRNA from 1 species